rnacentral:rRNA from 1 species
UGGGGAAUAUUGCACAAUGGGGGAAACCCUGAUGCAGCGACGCCGCGUGAGCGAUGAAGGCUUUCGAGUCGUAAAGCUCUGUCCUAUGGGAAGAUAAUGACGGUACCAUAGAAGAAAGCCCCGGCUAAUUACGUGCCAGCAGCCGCGGUAAUACGUAAGGGGCGAGCGUUGUCCGGAAUUAUUGGGCGUAAAGAGUGCGUAGGCGGCAAAUUAAGUCAGAUGUGAAAACUAAGGGCUCAACCCAUAGAUUGCAUCUGAAACUGAUAUGCUUGAGUCAAGGAGAGGAAAGUGGAAUUCCUAGUGUAGCGGUGGAAUGCGUAGAUAUUAGGAGGAGUACCGGUGGCGAAGGCGACUUUCUGGACUUGAACUGACGCUGAGGCACGAAAGCGUGGGGAGCAAACAGG